CAAUAGCGUAUAUUAAAGUUGUUGCAGUUAAAAAGCUCGUAGUUGGAUUUCGGGGUGGCCUGGCUGGUCCGCCGCAAGGUGAGUACUGGUCAGCCGCCCUUCCUCUCGAAAGCCCCGACUGCUCUUUACUGCAGUGGUCGGGUAGUUCGGGACGUUUACUUUGAAAAAAUUAGAGUGUUCAAGGCAGGCUAUCGCCUGAAUACAUUAGCAUGGAAUAAUGGAAGAGGACCUCGGUCCUAUUUUGUUGGUUUCUAGGGCCGAAGUAAUGAUUAAGAGGGACAGUUGGGGGCAUUCGUAUUUAAUUGUCAGAGGUGAAAUUCUUGGAUUUAUGAAAGACGAACUAGUGCGAAAGCAUUUACCAAGGAUGUUUUCAUUAA
rnacentral:rRNA from 1 species